AUUGAACGCUGGCGGCAUGCCUUACACAUGCAAGUCGAACGGCAGCACGGGUGCUUGCCCCUGGUGGCGAGUGGCGAACGGGUGAGUAAUACAUCGGAACAUGUCCUGUAGUGGGGGAUAGCCCGGCGAAAGCCGGAUUAAUACCGCAUACGAUCUACGGAGGAAAGCGGGGGACCUUCGGGCCUCGCGCUAUAGGGUUGGCCGAUGGCUGAUUAGCUAGUUGGUGGGGUAAAGGCCUACCAAGGCGACGAUCAGUAGCUGGUCUGAGAGGACGACCAGCCACACUGGGACUGAGACACGGCCCAGACUCCUACGGGAGGCAGCAGUGGGGAAUUUUGGACAAUGGGCGAAAGCCUGAUCCAGCAAUGCCGCGUGUGUGAAGAAGGCCUUCGGGUUGUAAAGCACUUUUGUCCGGAAAGAAAUCCUUGGCCCUAAUACGGUCGGGGGAUGACGGUACCGGAAGAAUAAGCACCGGCUAACUACGUG
rnacentral:rRNA from 1 species